UGGCAGCGGCAAACCCUGGCGGUUCUCCGGGUUCGUGGCAACCACGGAUGGGAAAAUGUGGAGGUUGCACGGCUGAUGUUUACUGUUCGUGGCACAGGAAGAGGCAGUUUCAUUUCAGGAAUGAGUGUGCACAAUCAAAGAAUAGAGCGACUGUGGAGAGACCUCUGGGUGGCCGUUACAUGCAUUUACUACGAUGUUCUUCACAACCUUGAGGAAGAGGGCCUUCUUGACAUUUCAAAUGCUGCACACCUCUUUUGCUGCCAUUACGUCUUUCUUCCUCGACUGGAGGAUGAUUUUAAUACAUUUUGCAGUGGAUGGGACAACCAUCCACUGCGAACAGAAAACA